CAGCCGCACUCGCGCCGCCCCCUUCCUUUUCCUCCCGCCUUACCUCUCUCUCCUUCCAAACCCUAGGCCCGAGCCCGUCGUCGCUGCUCUGUCCGAGCCCGCCGCCGCUGCUUCCUCCUUCCCCGCUGGCGCCCGGCCUCCUCCCCUCACGUCCUCCUCCUUCUACCCCCUCCCGCCCCGGCCCCGGCUCCCGCGGGAGGGAAGAAGGAAUGGCGAGGCGAGGCAAAGGUGGCGGCGUAUGGGGCGCGGCGCGGGCGGCGUGGCCCAGGGGGUCGGCGCGGCCGCAGCUUCUCGUCGUCUCCGCCGUCGCUUGGGCGCUGGUCCUCCUUGCCUUCCACCUCUGGUCCUGCGACGCGUGGUUGCUCGACGCCACCAUGGUGGUUUUCUUCGGCAGUCGGGGUCAACAGAGUAGGGUUUCAUGCCAUGGUCGUUUCUUGGUACGUGGAUGUUGUUCCUUAGAUGUGGAAAAAGAAUGGAGCAGGAGGAAAAGAGGAAGGAGAAGCCCUGUCACCUCCAUGCCCGUGCACUGCUUCCUGCUCACCUGCAGUAGGUAUGAAUCAAGUUCCUAAUUAAUUCUACAAGCCAUGGGGCAAGUAGCAGCUUGAUGCUGUUGUUUUUGGUAAAAAAAUCCCCUAUUGUUUCACUGCUGGCCUAUGUUGAAGUUUGUUAUAGCUUGUUGUUGAUUUGAUCAAUGUGCUGAAAGCAGUUGAUCUUAGUUCUCAUAUGUAGAUGCAGUAUUUCUUUUCGUUUAUGGGAAAGAGCACUAGCUAGAACUGACAUAUCUCUCUCAUGAGGUGUGCUUUUGCUAUGUCCAAAACUACAGCAUCCUCCAUCAUCCCCUUUUGGAUGUUCAGUUUACUGUACGAGUCAAUAUGGCUUUGAUUUUUAAAUCAGCUUCAAAGGUUGCUUUCACAAUCCUUUGAUGUUCAGUUUACUGCACGAGUCACUGAGGGAUUGCUGUUAAUUUGCCUCACGAUUCUGUUGCUAGGUACAAUUCUUUUAUUAGGUUGUUCUCUCUAUGUGAGCAAAUUUGUAUUAUUUGCAGUGGACAAUGUAUAGUUCAAUUUUCUUGAAUUUUGCUGUCAUGUAUGUGUUACUUGGAAAUUUGGCCCUAGAGCAUAUGCUUGGGCAUUGUUCAGCAUUGCAGAAUAAUUGUUUGAUGUAUGUGGCGUUCUCUAUUUUGUGGAAAGAAGGGAAGAGUAAUAUGCAUAUGGGCGGUUGUUGAAUCGAGAUCCAAUCCAACGACUGGGAGAGUUGACACAGAGCGAAGCCCAACCCCCGAGAAAAUAAGAGAUGCCAACGAUAUGAUUAGGCGCACAUAUACGAGUGCGUUUAUGACGACACUUGCACCAGGAGAGAGGAGAUCCUCAAGCCAUUGCAGCUAUCUUUUCUGCCUCAAUCUGAUUUAGCUCUGCGCUUUCCCACCCAUGCCCGGUCUCUUGCCGCAGCAGCCAUCUUUCUUCUUGUCCGUUCAGCCUCCUUCCUCUUCAUAGCAACAGAAUAUUGUGCUUUGCGCUUCCUCUUCUCAGCCUGC